rnacentral:lncRNA from 1 species
GCGUUUCUUCAACCUUUUCCCAUUUUCAUUACCGUAAUAGACUAAAAAGAGCAAAAACAUGAUGAUGUCAAGGAUGGCGCCACCACGGUAUUUGGGCCAGCAGCCUAUCGAGCAUAUAUGGGUGCAUCUCUUCACCUCCGUCGACCAAUGGGGCUUUCUUACAAGUUUAUGGCAACACCACCAUUCGUCGCAGCUCCUUCGCAGCCACAAUCACCUCUGGGCAGAUCGGCUUCGCCAACUCCAAGAGCGCAGAUGCGACCUCGUGGUUCCAACAAGAAGCAACUUUACCAAUUUUGUGAAUUGCUAGAUAUGUAUCAGAUAUAACUUUGAUUCUCUGCGUGGGAAAUGUUUGAGAAAAUGACGCAAUGGAAUUUUUAUGUUUGGUUAGUGAUGAUAUAUGGGUAUUUUAAGAAGGGCGAUAUCGACACUAGGGAUUUUUGAUCGGAUGAGUUUGAGGAACUUGAUUGUUUGGAAUUCGUUGAUUUUUGGGUACAUGCUAAAGUUUGAGAAAUGAAGGUUUCUAUAUAUUUUUGUUUCCUCGUUUUAUAAUCUGGAACUUUAGUCAACGGCGUAGGGGAAAAGGUUGAGAUCUAUGAGCUCAAGAAAAAUGAUUUCUCUAUAAAAAUUGACCAAUUUUUUGUGUAAGAAUCAUAUUUGUUAUUCUUCUCAACAGUAAUGGAGAAUUUUUUUGGUCCCUUUUUUUCGAAUAUUCUUGCAAAAUUCCAUUUUCUCAUCAGUUUUAAAUCAAUAGUGUUUCAAAUAAUCUGUAUCUACAAUCAUAUUGCAGAGCAGUUCAAUUUUCUUUUUUUUUUUUGGUUGCCUGCUCUUUUCAAUUGCUUCAGUUUUAAAUUGAAUAACAAAUUGUCUUAGAGAUCCAAUUUGUGAUGCUUGUAGGUACAACUAAACUCAAGAGUUUCAACACCGGAUGCUUUUGUGGUGCCCAAGAGAUUGUUCGUGUAGAGGCAUGCAAAAGUGUUUUCUAGUCUCCAUUUUAUUUGGGCUGGUAUUAUCGAUUUCACUCCUAAUUUUUAUUAUUAUUGCUGGAGCAGUUGAACAUAGUUGCUUGAAGUAGCAACGAUUAUUAUGGUAACCAAACAAGCAUCAAGAGCUAGUGACACAACUUUACACAUUAUAACCUUUAAUUCCUUUUAAAGCUGUAAUAUUUGAAUCGAACUUUACUCUUUUCAUCGGGAUAACUGAACUGAAUAACACCAAUGCAGGAUGGUCUUUAUCUUUCUCAACAAAGAUUGCAUGUGUUGUUAAUGUAUAUAUGUUAUGCAUUUUGAAUAAGAACUUGG